GCAUAUCAAUAAGCGGAGGAAAAGAAACCAACAGGGAUUGCCUCAGUAACGGCGAGUGAAGCGGCAAGAGCUCAAAUUUGAAAUCUGGCUCCUUCGGGGCCCGAGUUGUAAUUUGGAGAGGAUGCUUCGGGCGUGGCCCCCAUCUAAGUGCCCUGGAACGGGCCGUCAUAGAGGGUGAGAAUCCCGUCUGGGAUGGGUGGUCCCGCCCGUGUGAAGCUCCUUCGAAGAGUCGAGUUGUUUGGGAAUGCAGCUCUAAGAGGGUGGUAAAUUUCAUCUAAAGCUAAAUAUUGGCCGGAGACCGAUAGCGCACAAGUAGAGUGAUCGAAAGAUGAAAAGCACUUUGAAAAGAGAGUUAAACAGCACGUGAAAUUGUUGAAAGGGAAGCGUUGGCAACCAGACUCGCCCGGGAGGGCUCAGCCGGCACGUGUGCCGGUGCACUCCCCCCCGGGCGGGCCAGCGUCGGUUUGGGCGGUCGGUCAAAGGCCCCGGGAAUGUAGCACCCUCCGGGGUGCCUUAUAGCCCGAGGCGCCAUGCGACCUGCCCGGACCGAGGAACGCGCUUCGGCUCGGACGCUGGCGUAAUGGUUGUCAACGGCCCGUCUUGAAACACGGACC
rnacentral:rRNA from 2 species